UACGGGGGGGGCAAGCGUUGUUCGAAAUUACUGGGCGUAAAGGGCUCGUAGGCGGCCAACUAAGUCAGACGUGAAAUCCCUCGGCUUAACCGGGGAACUGCGUCUGAUACUGGAUGGCUUGAGGUUGGGAGAGGGAUGCGGAAUUCCAGGUGUAGCGGUGAAAUGCGUAGAUAUCUGGAGGAACACCGGUGGCGAAGGCGGCAUCCUGGACCAAUUCUGACACUGAGGAGCGAAAGCCAGGGGAGCAAACGGG
rnacentral:rRNA from 1 species